UACGUAGGGUGCAAGCGUUAAUCGGAAUUACUGGGCGUAAAGCGUGCGCAGGCGGUUCGCUAAGACCGAUGUGAAAUCCCCGGGCUUAACCUGGGAACUGCAUUGGUGACUGGCGGGCUAGAGUAUGGCAGAGGGGGGUAGAAUUCCACGUGUAGCAGUGAAAUGCGUAGAGAUGUGGAGGAAUACCGAUGGCGAAGGCAGCCCCCUGGGCCAAUACUGACGCUCAUUCACGAAAGCGUGGGGAGCAAACAGG
rnacentral:rRNA from 1 species